UUAUGAUAUGCUUGUCUCAAAGAUUAAGCCAUGUAUGUCUAAGUAUAAACUAAUUAUACGGUGAAACUGCGGACGGCUCAUUAAAUCAGCUAUAGUUUAUUUGAUAGUCUUUACUACUUGGAUAACCGUAGUAAUUCUAGAGCUAAUACAUGCGCAAAGCCGUGCAAACGGUGUAUUUAUUAGGUAAAAAGCCAACCCCUCGUGGAGUUGUGAGGAUUCAUGAUAACUGAGCGGAGCGUAUGGCCUCGUUGCCGACGCCGAUUCAUUCAAAUUUCUGCCCUAUCAACUUUUGAUGGUAGGAUAGAGGCCUACCAUGGUUUUGACGGGUACGGAGGAUUAGGGUUCGAUACCGGAGAGAGAGCCUGAGAGACGGCUGUCACAUCCAAGGAUGGCAACAGGCGCGCAAAUUACCCAAUCCCAAUUCGGGGAGGUAGUGACAAGAAAUAACAACGCUGGGCCCUCUGGGUCUGGUGAUUGGAAUGAGGACAAUGUAAAAACCUUACCGAUUAGCCAUU
rnacentral:rRNA from 1 species